GACGAACGCUGGCGGCGUGCUUAACACAUGCAAGUCGAACGGAAAGGCCCUGCUUUUGUGGGGUGCUCGAGUGGCGAACGGGUGAGUAACACGUGAGUAACCUGCCCUUGACUUUGGGAUAACUUCAGGAAACUGGGGCUAAUACCGGAUAGGAGCUCCUGCUGCAUGGUGGGGGUUGGAAAGUUUCGGCGGUUGGGGAUGGACUCGCGGCUUAUCAGCUUGUUGGUGGGGUAGUGGAUUACCAAGGCUUUGACGGGUAGCCGGCCUGAGAGGGUGACCGGCCACAUUGGGACUGAGAUACGGCCCAGACGCCUACGGGAGGCAGCAGUGGGGAAUAUUGCACAAUGGGCGGAAGCCUGAUGCAGCAACGCCGCGUGCGGGAUGACGGCCUUCGGGUUGUAAACCGCUUUCGCCUGUGACGAAGCGUGAGUGACGGUAAUGGGUAAAGAAGCACCGGCUAACUACGUG
rnacentral:rRNA from 1 species